ensembl:lncRNA
UUUGCUCCAAGCAGACUGUUGCUUCCUGCCCAGAACCUUUGCAGUUCCAUUGCCCCUAAACUGCCGCAACCUUCCCUAGCCACCACCCUAUGCUGCUGUUACACCUUCCCUUUCCCCUACAAAUCCCAAGCUAGUCCUGGAUACAGUCCCAGUGGGCUGCAAGUGACAGGUUGAGAGAGGGUAACCAGUGACAAGAUAGGUGAAGAGUAGCUCCCACCUCCAGCAGGCCACCAUUCUUUCCUGAGGCCUGCUGGGAACAAUCCAAAUGCCCCACCCAGGUGUGCCCAGCCCCGUCCUGUGCAGUUCUGAGCUGGCUGCUGUGCUGCCUCCUGGCGUCAUGGAACAGAGGGGCUGGGAGAGCUGGAAGGGGACCAUGUUUCCUCCCAAGCUUUGGCAAUACCGCACCCUAAUACUGAAGUGGCUGCCCUUCCUUCCUACCUGGCUUCUUGCCACUGCUCCUGCCACAUUCUCUAUGAGGAGUGACCUUCCAACACUUCAAAUCAAGCCACUCUUCAGGAUGUAUCACCUGUGUCACCUCAUCCAUGCAGCCCUUCUUGACUCCCCUGCUAGAUGAAGUUCCAUCCUCCUCUGGGCCUGCGGCACAAUGUCCCUCUCUGCCUCUUGUCGUGGUUACUUGUCUAACCAUCUUCCUGCUCCUCACCCUCAGCAGCUGGAGGCCUCGAGUCCAGCCACUCUUCUCUGUCCCUUGGAUCCUCAAUACAACUGGAUUUCAUUGAACUGGAUGGGGGAAUCAGGGGAAGCCACUGGUUGCAAAGUGGUUGGGGUGCCUGUGGCUUUCCAAUUUGGGGGGCCUCACUCUAUCCUGCCUCCAUCACUCCUGAGUGAUCAAACCUUGUCAGAUUGACAUGGAUCCUCCAGCUUAUGACCGUAACAGAGGGCCCAAUUGGUUAUAAGAAAGUCAUUUGGUGUCUUUGCCAAGAGGACAAGAGAGAAGACAAGGAAGGUGGCAGCCGGUAAAAGACACUGAAACUACAGCAAACGGUCUGCUGAGCCAGUCCAGCCACCCUGGCUAAAGCAUUUUGGUGCCAGCCAAUACUCCUUGCUCCCUGAAAAAUAACAAAUGAACGUGUUGCCUUUUUUGUGCCACCUUUUCUCCUUUCAAACACAAUGUUUGAGGCUCCUGGUGUCAGCAACAAUUUACAUCUCAAGAGACACCAGUUUUCCCAGAAGCCUUCAGGGUUGUCUAAACCAGAGCACCUGGGAAAUGAUUUCUAGUGACAGCUUAGCAAUCUCCUCUGGGACCUGGCUGAGGACGUGAUUAGGAGGACUUUGUGUGUGCAAAGAAGGCAGACUUAAGGAGGUGAGCCUGCUCUGCUCUUAGGUAUGGGACAAGAAGCGACUAGGACAAGGAUGCCCUCCUCCACUUAGGAUCCUCACAGCUCAGAAGGACAGGAACAUUUCAGAAACUCAUGUAUGGCGCCUCCCAAAGACCACAUAGAGCACCAACAAUACGGAGACGAAGGUUGCAAAGUGAUUGGUGGAUCCUAACUCCAGGGCCUGUGAACUUUACCUGGCCUUUCCCAGGCUUAAGUGGAAGUUUUCACCUAAACAUCAAGUUUUCCAAUUGUUCUUUAAAAGUUAAGACUUGGGGGCACACCUUAAACCACAACAUUAAGUGAAAUAAAUCAGACAGACAAGCUUAAAAUAUCGCAUGAUUUCUCCUAUAUGAGAAACCCAAAAUAUAAGUAAAGAGCAGCAUAAAAAAGAGAUAACAGGAAGCAGGGAGAUAGAUCUUUUGAAAAGGGGAAGGGGACCAAGAGAUUAGAGGAGUGAUGAAGAAAGAGUUAAGGUGUAUCAUUAUGUACGUGUACCAACUCCUCAAGGUGAGUGUAAUCAUUAUGCACUGCAAACAUGAACUAAUACAAAUUUUAAAAAAGAAAAGAAUUCCCCCACAUUGGAAGACCUGGCAUUAAUCAGCUGGAGUAGAAUCUGGGCUUCCCUCUCUAGAUGGGGCAUAAACCUUCCAGUUUGUCACACUCCCCUCCAGCGCUAUUGUCCUACCUGGCCCAUCUCACUUUUUAUCUGCCUGGCCUGUGUAAGCAUCAGUUUAUAACCUCUGCACCUGCUCACCAAGGUGAGGUUUGGACUCGAAUUAUCUAAAUGAUCAUUGCAUUUGUCUUUACACAGAAUGUGGCGGUUCCUGCUCAUUAUCAUAAUGCAGCCCAAGGGGUUGGGCCUACUAACUCAGGCAUAGUGAGGCUCAGCCUCUGAGAUCUGCCUCUGAGUCUUCCCACGCCCCUCUUCCCUUAAACAGGUUGGGCUUGGGGCUGUCUGGGUAUCAUUCUUGGAAAAUUCUUUCAUCAAAGACAUUCCAAUGCUCCCCAAAUGCUUCCUACUUGUUAAAAAUCUGGCUUAAAUGGCAGGGAACAGUUUAGCUGUUUGAAACAUCAUCUUCCUAGAUCCCACUCACCCCAGUGUGUGGACUGCCUACCCAAAUUGCCAACCAGAUUCCAUGAAGGAAUCAAAGAGCCAUGUGAAAUUAAUUUUACAAAUCCUGUCACACACACCAUGGGGGCAUGGCAAAUGUGACAGAGAAGAAGAAAGACAGGUGCAGUUUGCUCUGCAAGGAGGCAUUCAUUCACUCAAGAGACAAUCAUCGAUAGUUACUUUCCACCAAACACUGUGCUAAAUCCACAGUCUUUACUGUUAGGAUUUUUAUUUAAUGGGAAAGCAGAGAAGAAAGUCAACAAUUAGAGCAAUGUGCCGCAGAUACACAAUCUGAAAGUCUUGGUUCCAGAUGUGUGAGGGAAUGCAGAGUUUUAAAAUUAUAUUUUAUUUGGAUUUUUGGAAAGCAGUAGGUUGUAUACACCAUCCAUUAGGUAGCACCCAACAGUCUGGGACAGGCCACUGCCAGCAAAUUUAUUAAUAUUUCUACAGCAAUCCCGUAAAUAUUCACAGUAGGUGGAAUACAUAGACUAUAAAUAGCAUCAUAACAGUUGAGGCCAGGUUUUUGCCAUCAAAUGUGGUUCCAGAUCUAAACCAGACCACUUCACAUAUACAAAAAUUGAAUUUGGAACUGUGCACUGGUCCAGGCCAGGCAAAGGUUUCCUGGAAGAGACAUAUUUGAGCUGUAACUUGAAAGAUCAACUGGACAAAAAGCAGAGUACUUUCCAGGCUGAUGAGCCAGCAUGCACCAGGUGCCACCCUUCGAGGAUUCAAGUGGCCCAGGGGCAACUUGAGCUGCACUGAGGGAAACACAGAAUCCCACUCCCCAUGAGGGUGACUGAGGCGCAGCACUGAGUAGACAUGAGGCCCUGCUAAAAACACCCAGGAAGGGACCUUGUGAGCUGCAGGUAAACAGCUCUCCAGGGGUUUGGUUUGGUUUGGUUUGGUUUUUGUAUUUGUUUUUGUUUUUGUUUGCGGUACUGGGCACUGAACCCAGGAUUUUCCCAAAACUUAAAAUAAAAUUUUAAAAUUUUGAGACAAGGUUUUGCUAAGUCGAUAAGUUACCUAGGCUGGGCUUGAACUUGUGGUCCUCCCACCUCAGCCUCCCAGCAUGCUGGGAUUGCAGGCCAGCACCCCAUACUGGCUCUCCAGGAGAUUCUUAACCACAAUGAAGAUAGAGAAUCACUCAUCUAUUUGACACAUCCUAUGUGACAAUCAUUCUAAGUUGUUUUAGAAAUAUGAAUGCAUUUAACCCUCCUGGCAGCCUUUACUAUGAAAGGGCAUUAUUAUUCUCAUUUUCAGAUGGAGGAAUCAAGGUACAGAGAAGAUUAAAUAAAAACAACUCUCAUCCAAGGUCAUAGAGUUGAGAGACAGACCAGAGGACCUGACUUCAGAGCUGGUGCUUUAACCCAAAGAUUGCCUUUGCAUGGAUUUAGGCAUCUGGCCCACACCCUCACCUGCAGCCACUGCAAAGCAGAAGCCUGGACUCCUCUCAAGACACAGGACACACCUGUGAUCCUGAGCCAGGAUAAGCAAAAUAAGACAGGUAAAAAAGAAGCAAGGAGGGCUGGGAAUUUAGCUCAGUGGUUCCGCCACCUGCCUUGCAAGUGCAAGGUCCUGAGUUUGAUCCCCGGUACCAAAAAAAAGAAGUAAGGAAAAUCGUAGUUUUAAAACUACUUUUAAUAAAAAUUGCAGCUUCUGGACACAAACCCAAUCAAAAAUUCUUAAGACCCUUAAAGACCCACUAAGCCCGG